CUGAGAUAGCACUGCUGCUUGCAGUGAGGCUGCUGGAGUUUGAUAGACACAUAAAUAUGGGUCUCAAUGAGCCCUUGUAGUGGAUAUUGAUGACAGUUGGUCCACUGUAGGAGUAGGAUGUGUAUCAAGAUAGAAUUUAUCGAUCUUGAUAAAAAGGAGUAGUCCUGUGAGAUUUGAGAAGCUAAGUCCGAGAAUCUAUGGCCAUAGUAGUGUGAUUGAUGGAAAGGAGUUUCCAUAGAAGUCAUAACUAGACUUUAGCUAAUCGAAUCUAUCAUAGGACUAAUGUUGAGGUUUAACAAUUUAUCCAUAACUUGCCAUCAAGUCAGGACUCACGAUAGAGGAACUGAAUCACACAUUAACUGUACCUAAAGAUUUAUUUUAGUUCUACUAGUUACCACUACAUACUGCUAGGUGUUACUGGUGGAUUAUGAAAGCUCACAAGGAUUGUUCUGGAUCGACAAUUCUUGAUGAGUUAGAGUGAAAUUAUUCCGAUCCAUUGAAAAAAAUUUUAGUGAUACUUCGAUAGAGAUCAUUGUAUAUCUCACUAUCAGAUAGAAUUGAACCUAUGGGGUCACACAACAAAGAGAUUAGGUC
rnacentral:lncRNA from 1 species